rnacentral:rRNA from 1 species
GAGGAAUAUUGGUCAAUGGGCGCAAGCCCGAACCAGCCAUGUCGCGUGCAGGAAGACUGCCCUAUGGGUUGUAAACUGCUUUUAUAGUAGAAGAAACACAUCUACGUGUAGAUGUCUGCCAGUAUACUAUGAAUAAGCAUCGGCUAACUCCGUGCCAGCAGCCGCGGUAAUACGGAGGAUGCAAGCGUUAUCCGGAUUUAUUGGGUUUAAAGGGUGCGUAGGCGGGACUGUAAGUCAGGGGUGAAAUACUGCAGCUUAACUGUAGCAUUGCCUUUGAAGCUGUGGUUCUUGAGUACAGUUGAGGUAGGCGGAAUGUGGUGUGUAGCGGUGAAAUGCAUAGAUAUACCACAGAACGCCGAUUGCGAAGGCAGCUUACUAAGCUGUUACUGACGCUGAGGCACGAAAGCGUGGGGAUCAAAC